UACGGGGGGGGGCAAGCGUUGUUCGGAAUUACUGGGCGUAAAGGGCCAGUAGGCGGCCAACUAAGUCGGAUGUGAAAUCCCCAGGCUUAACCUGGGAACUGCAUCCGAUACUGGAUGGCUUGAAUUCGGGAGAGGGAUGCAGAAUUCCAGGUGUAGCGGUGAAAUGCGUAGAUAUCGUGGAGGAAUACCGGUGGCGAAGGCGGCAUCCUGGACCGACAUUGACGCUGAACGGCGAAAGCUAGGGGAGCAAAACGGGG
rnacentral:rRNA from 1 species